GAUGAACGCUGGCGGCGUGCCUAAUACAUGCAAGUCGAGCGAACAGAUGAGGAGCUUGCUCCUCUGACGUUAGCGGCGGACGGGUGAGUAACACGUGGAUAACCUACCUAUAAGACUGGGAUAACUUCGGGAAACCGGAGCUAAUACCGGAUAAUAUAUUGAACCGCAUGGUUCAAUAGUGAAAGACGGUUUUGCUGUCACUUAUAGCUGGAUCCGCGCCGCAUUAGCUAGUUGGUAAGGUAACGGCUUACCAAGGCAACGAUGCGUAGCCGACCUGAGAGGGUGAUCGGCCACACUGGAACUGAGACACGGUCCAGACUCCUACGGGAGGCAGCAGUAGGGAAUCUUCCGCAAUGGGCGAAAGCCUGACGGAGCAACGCCGCGUGAGUGAUGAAGGUCUUCGGAUCGUAAAACUCUGUUAUUAGGGAAGAACAAAUGUGUAAGUAACUAUGCAUGUCUUGACGGUACCUAAUCAGAAAGCCACGGCUAACUACGUG
rnacentral:rRNA from 1 species